GACGUAGGGCGCGAGCGUUGUCCGGAUUUAUUGGGCGUAAAGAGCUCGUAGGCGGCUUGUCGCGUCGGCUGUGAAAACCCGCGGCUCAACUGUGGGCGGGCAGCUGAUACGGGCAGGCUGGAGUUCGGUAGGGGAGACUGGAAUUCCUGGUGUAGCGGUGAAAUGCGCAGAUAUCUGGAGGAACACCGGUGGCGAAGGCGGCGUCCUGGACCAACACUGACACUGAUGAGCGAAAGCCAGGGGAGCAAACGGG
rnacentral:rRNA from 1 species